rnacentral:rRNA from 1 species
UGGGGGCGUGCUUAACACAUGCAAGUCGAACGAAGCAAUUUAGCGGAAGUUUUCGGAUGGAAGCUAGAUUGACUGAGUGGCGGACGGGUGAGUAACGCGUGGGUAACCUGCCUCACACUGGGGGACAACAGUUAGAAAUGACUGCUAAUACCGCAUAAGCGCACAGGACCGCAUGGUCCGGUGUGAAAAACUCCGGUGGUGUGAGAUGGACCCGCGUUUGAUUAGCUAGUUGGUGGGGUAACGGCCUACCAAGGCGACGAUCAAUAGCCGACCUGAGAGGGUGACCGGCCACAUUGGGACUGAGACACGGCCCAAACUCCUACGGGAGGCAGCAGUGGGGAAUAUUGCACAAUGGGGGGAACCCUGAUGCAGCGACGCCGCGUGAGUGAAGAAGUAUUUCGGUAUGCAAAGCUCUAUCAGCAGGGAAGAAAAUGACGGUACCUGACUAAGAAGCCCCGGCUAACUACGUGCCAGCAGCCGCGGUAAUACGUAGGGGGCAAGCGUUAUCCGGAUUUACUGGGUGUAAAGGGAGCGUAGACGGUAAAGCAAGUCUGAAGUGAAAGCCCGGGGCUCAACCCCGGGACUGCUUUGGAAACUGUUUAAUUAGAGUGCUGGAGAGGUAAGCGGAAUUCCUAGUGUAGCGGUGAAAUGCGUAGAUAUUAGGAGGAACACCAGUGGCGAAGGCGGCUUACUGGACAGUAACUGACGUUGAGGCUCGAAAGCGUGGGGAGCAAACAAGAGUAGAUACCCUGGUAGUCCACGCCGUAAACG